CCAGAAACUUUCUUAAACCCAUUACACAUGUGGUCUCAGUCUCCACAAAGCACCCUUAUCUCCCGAUUGUACUGGUUGUACUAAGAAAUCUCCUCAUCGUACUAAGAAAUAGGUCUGAAAAGAUUACUAUAUCUUGUCCAAGGCGACAAAAUAAGUAAACAGGAAAGGGAAGGCGUGAAUCCUCGCAAUGUGAUUCUAGGGUUUAUACAAACUGACAGUUGAAAGACCUAGUAUGUUGCAACUACUAAGUGAAACCUAAGUCAGGCACAGUUCUGUGGUCUGAACUACUUUACACUCUACUAAGGUACAUUCAAGCUAAAAGUAUGAAUGAAUGAUCCCUAUGACAACAAAAUGACUAAAGUACCAAAUAAAUCUGUAUACCUAGAGAAACUGUACUUAAAGAACUAUGUCCAAAGAAACAUCCACCUAUGAACCUGAAUUAUCUGGACCCUAUGGAGAGAUCCACAUGUCAAACAACUGAUAUCUACAGCCAAAAGGCAUUGAAGAUCGGAAGCCAGCUAGCAGCCAUGUGAAUGAGGUUGGAAACAGAACGUCCUCCAGUUGAACCUUGACAUGCCUGUCGCCCUGUCCAACAUCCUGGGAAACUCUCAGGCAGAGCAUCUCACAGAGGGACACUCAGAUUCUUGAUCUAGAAAGACUGCAAUACAAUCAAUGUUUGUUGUUUUAAGAGGCUAACUUUUGGAGGUGAUUUGUUAAACAACAACGAAACCAAAAAAAACCCAUCAAGGAGGAGUCAAGAAAUAGAAAAUGUGAAGUGGGUUAGGAGAGGAUUAAAUGUAGGUUAUGGACUGCCAAAGUUUCCAAAUUCGAAUAGUAUUAUUAUUAAUACUUAAAAUACUUUUCUCAUAAAUGAGACAUUAAGUGUUAAAGAAAUCACCUGGGUAUGUCCACUAUAUCUCAAUGAAAUAACUAGUUGGAAUAAAAUAAAAGAAUUCACUCAGGGUUCUGGAGGUGAAGACCAUUUGAAUACCAUCAGAAAAUGGCGGGGGGGGGGGUGGUUGAAAAGUUUGGAAAAUGAGCUGAUGUUAAGAGCUCUCCAUAGAUAUUUACAGACAAACAAUGGAUUUUUUUCCCCCUAUCAGUUGUUUCAAAAUGGUGUCAUAUUUAUUUCUAUGUUUCUUCCUUCUCUAUCGCACACAAAUUCUGCUUGCACUGUUCUUAAUGUGUGUCUAUAUGAUUUCCCUCUUUACUAAAAUCUUUCGAUGGUUUCAUACCAUCCCUGGUAUAAAGUUGGAAAUUUCCGGAUCAUCUGUAUUAUUAUACCCAUCCCUUCCAAAACUAUCUUUGAACAAAUGACUGGCUU